rnacentral:rRNA from 1 species
GGGGAAUUUUCCGCAAUGGGCGAAAGCCUGACGGAGCAAUACCGCGUGAGGGAGGAAGGCUCUUGGGUUGUAAACCUCUUUUCUGGGGGAAGAAGUUCUGACGGUACCCCAGGAAUCAGCAUCGGCUAACUCCGUGCCAGCAGCCGCGGUAAUACGGAGGAUGCAAGCGUUAUCCGGAAUUAUUGGGCGUAAAGCGUCCGCAGGUGGUACAUCAAGUCUGCUGUCAAAGACCGGAGCUCAACUCCGGGCAGGCAGUGGAAACUGGUGAACUAGAGUACGGUAGGGGUAGAGGGAAUUCCCAGUGUAGCGGUGAAAUGCGUAGAGAUUGGGAAGAACACCAGUGGCGAAGGCGCUCUACUGGGCCGUAACUGACACUCAGGGACGAAAG